AGAGAUAUAAUAAAGAACUUCUAAUUCUUAUAAUUUAAUGAUUUAUCAUUAAUAUCUCUA
rnacentral:tRNA from 1 species